CAUUAUCACAAAAGAGCUUUUGCAUGUUCUUUCAACAUCAAUCAUUUUCUUCUAACAAGCCCAAAUCCACAUUAAUUAAUUUACGCCAAAACCACAGAAAAAAAGAAUAAUUUCACAGAAAAAUGAUUCAGUAAGCAUUUUGGGAGUUGUGUGAUAGAACAUCCAAAAGUUUCGUAGGCUGGUUUCUCAAACCUCGUACCGAAGUAUGGAGACGCUGCAAAUCUAAGUACUCUUUGAACCGGGUUUCUUGUGAACAGAACAAUAGAUGUCUUGCUCUAUGUUGAUCGUUUGGAUGUGUAUAGAGCCGAUGAGCAAGUUGUUAAAGCAAUCACCCAAAAUUUUGGAAAAGAGAUAUGGUGCAAAACCUUGCUUGUUCUGUCCCUUCCUAAUGAACUUUCCUACCAAACUGAUGGUUCUAAUUAAGAUGUGAAUACAAGAGUUUGAGGAUUCUGGAAUCGCGUUAGUCUAUGCAGAGAACAGCGGAAGAUGCCGCAAGAACGAUAAAGACGAAAAGGUUUGUGUUUUCGAAUCUCUGAUUUGAGUAGACUUGGAGAGAGACUGACUGUGUAAAUGUGGUAGGAUUAAAGAAGUUCGACUUAGCAUCCCGUCUUUUUCAAAAUGUUUAAAUGUUUAACUUAAGCUUUUUGAUGAUACAAAAUGUUUUUAUUUCUAAAAAUCUAAGUUUUAGAUUUAAGUACGUUGAAAACAAAUCGAACUUAGCAUCCCAUUCUUAAAAUUUUCUUUAACUAAAAGUCUUUAAUUAUUAAAAGUAUUUUUACUUCAAAGAAACAAACUGAACUUGAUGUAAAUUUAAACACUUAAUCUGAUGAUUAAUCUUCUAAUAAAUUACUUUUGAUUUUUGAAUUCAUUACGUGAGAUUGAGAGACGUAUAAACGCUAGGAGUAAGAGCUUUGAAGGUGUUUCAUGGGAAUGAAUCUAGGUGACUAGGUACACUAAUUCUAUAAAACAGAUAUAUAGAGAAAGUAGCUCUCUCUACACGUUUUCCGAUUCCUGCUAGAAAAGAAAACAAGAUUUAGAUAUUGAUGUACAUUGUCAUGAACCAUUUUUCAAAGGCUUGUCCAAUUUUGCCUGCCAAUCAGUCCUAGUGGGCAACAAGGCAUAGGAAGCAUAGGAGGUAUGUAUUAGCCUUAUUAUUCGCACACACAUUAAGGGUUUUGAAUCAGGGAACUUGUAUAAAUCAUAACUUAGUCUCA